CUUUGAUCACAUCCUUUCUCUCUUUUUCUUUAUUUUUUUUCUGAAUUUUUCCCAUUCUAAAUCACCUCCUAAGUUGUAUUUGAUUCCUUGAUUUCGGUUUGAUUGUGGAUUCGAAGUUAAACAGAGUAAGGAGGAGAAGAGGAAGAAGAAGAAGAAGAAGAAAUCGAGACUAGUUUUUAUAGGAAAUUUGUGUCACCGAUGCCAGAUAACAGUAAUAAUAACAAUAGUAAUAGGCAGGUUAAGAGCAAUGCUGUGCCAAAUCAAUCUCCUGAUAAUAUUGAAGAUGCAAUUUGGAGGUUGAAAAUCCACGAUAAUCAGGACCAAGAGCAAGGUGGUAUGGCUCCAUCAAGUACAUACCCAGAUCGUCCUGGUGAACCAGAUUGCGUGUAUUAUCUAAGGACUGGAUUAUGUGGUUAUGGAAGUAACUGUCGUUUUAAUCAUCCUCCUGCUGCGCAGGGUACUCAAUUUAGAGAGGAACUUCCGGAAAGAGCUGGACAACCUGACUGUGGGUACUAUUUAAAGACAGGGACUUGCAAAUAUGGUUCAACAUGUAAAUAUCAUCAUCCAAGGGACAGGAAUGGUGCAGGGCCUGUCUCAUUUAACAUUCUUGGUCUUCCUAUGCGCCAGGAUGAAAAAUCAUGUCCUUAUUACUUGCGAACUGGAUCAUGUAAAUUUGGAGUUGCAUGUAAAUUCCACCAUCCCCAGCCUGUACCACUUGGAGCUGGGUUGCCUUUGACUGGACCUGCUGGCUCUGGGCCUAUGGGAUCAUCAAUUGUGCCUUCAUCAGGUCUGCCUUAUGUGGGUGGGCUUCCAACUUGGUCAUUACCAAGAGCACCAUAUGCGUCUGGCCCUCAUCUACAAGGUCCACAGGCAUAUAUGCCUGUUGUUCUUUCUCCUUCUCAGGGUGUCGUUUCAGCACAAGGCUGGAACACCUAUGUGGGAAACUUGAGCCCCUUGUCUUCUGCCAGUGUUCUCGGAUCCAGUCUUGUUUACAACUCCAGGGAUCAAGGUGAGUCAGGAUCUAGUGGGCAAAUUCAUUUGCUAUCAACAACCACCUCUCAUCUUCCUGAGAGACCUGAUCAACCAGAAUGUCGGUAUUUUAUGAACACUGGGACCUGCAAAUACGGAUCUGACUGCAAGUACCAUCACCCUAAAGAAAGAAUUGCGCAACUAGCAACAAAUUCUGUUGGCCCACCUGGUCUUCCCUCAAGACCUGCACAACCUGUCUGUUCAAACUACAGUAUGUAUGGACUCUGCAAAUUUGGUCCAACUUGCAGAUUUGAUCAUCCUUCCCCUGGAUAUCCUUAUAGCUACAGUUUGAACCUGCAGCCUGUAUCUAUAUUUGAUUCCUCUCUCUUAACUCAUCCAAGAAUGUCAGCACCAGCUCUUUCAGCUGAAAGUCCUGUCUCUCUAUCAUCAAAAUUUCCUGGUUGGGUCCGGAAUCCUGAUGGUGCAAGCAACAAACGUCAAAAUUCAAAUGCAAAUACAAAGAUUGCUGAUGAUCAACCUGAGCAGGCCAGUUCUCCACCACCACACUCCUCGCAGGCUUCUUCAGAACCAUCGCAUGAUUAAUUCGGAGUUGGUUGAGAUUACUUAUUUUUGUUUUGUUGAUACAUUUUGAUAUUUGGUACUUUUAAAGGAGAUUUUUGUGACAUGUACAUCCUGGCCCCCCCUUUUUCACCUGUGGUUAUGCGGAGUGUGAUAGGUUGUUUUGAAACCAAAUGUGAAGAGCAAAAUCCGGGGGCAUUGGAAAGCAUUUUUUGUUGUGAAUAAAAUGCAGGUGAAAAUUUGUAAUAUUCCUUUCUGGGAUGUCUCUUUGCUUGACUGAUAUUUGUUAGUGAUGAUAAAAGAUUUUGCUAGAAUAUU
rnacentral:misc_RNA from 1 species